AAAGGGUUUCCUCUUCUUCAUGACCUAGCCGCCGCAUGCCCAUCGUUGUCCCGACCUCCUCCACCAUCCAUUGAACUUCAAGCCCAACUGCACAUCUUUGUUUCAUUGAUUGAGCCACGCAAAAUAGAGAGUCGACCCACGCCUUCCUGUCUUCUUUUCACCCUAGUCGCACGAAUAGUCGUACGCCAUCUUAGUUCUGCAUCAGUCUAUUCCGAGUUGUACCAGGUCUACACUCCUACAAGUGCUCCUCUUUUUGGUUGCAAUUUAAGACCUGUCGCCCCUAGAUCUUAGUCGUUCGCGUCGUUGGUCAUAGUUGGCUUUGAUGUGGGUUUUCUUAUAAAUUAAUGGCUUUAAGGAUAAAGUUAAUUUUGGAUCAAAUUAGAAGUUUUCUUUAAAGAAUUAAUCAGAUUUUUUAAGCAAGUAUGGAUGCUCUCAAGGGGAAUUGGUUUCGACCUCAAAUUUGGGUAAGAUAAAUCGGAAAAUUUAGGUUGAUGGCUAGUUAUUUAUUAAGUAAGUUAUUAAUUUUUUUCCUUUAUGUUUAGGACUGAUUUAAUUGGGAAUUAGAAUAUUUUUAGUUAAUCUCAGGUAAGUUGGACUUUCAAAAUUAAGAUUUAAGUGAUGCAUGGUUUGACUAAUUAUGCAAUAGCUAAAAUGCAUAGAUGGGUUUAUAGGAGAUGUUGUCUGAAAUUAUGUGACUUGCAUGUAUGACUGACUGUAUGAUUAUGGAUUAUUGAAUGAUGUUGCAUGUUAUGCUUAUUAUUGGAUUGGGUUGAUUGUGACAUACUUUUGGGAUUGUUGCUGUAUGUUAGCUUUAGCUAGUAGGUUAUACCCUAUAUGUAUGAUGUCCCUCGAGAUCACCACCCUUCGACUGAUAUGAUUGAUGUGUGUAAACCCUAGAUCCCAAGAAUUCUUAAGUCUUUCAAAGAACUUAAGAGAUGAAUACAGGUUGAGUUUAGGGAUUUAAGAUUUAUAAUAAAAGGAAAAAUGGAAAGAAAUCUCACUAAUGUGAUGGUUGUUAAACCUUGGUCAUAGAGAACAUAAAACAUCUUAAAACAAGUAUAAUAGCCUUAGUUAAAAAGGAAUUCUUUUUCAAGAAUUAGUUAUAACUAGCAUUCGGGUAUCAUGAUUUAUGUGACAUAAUUUGAGUGUUAUAAUUUAAUUGUCAUGGUAGCCUUAGACUAAGAAAUGAAUGAAGUUUAACAAGGAAAAGGGUAGUCGACAAAAAGGGAACAAGUCAGGAGAAAGGAACUUUGUGGGUUUUAAGCAUGGGGUGGAUAACAUACAAUGCGUUUGAUUCAUACAAGUAGGAGGAGUAGGAUAACUAAAAAGGACGUGUCAAUGCAAAGCCACAGAAGCAUGAGGUGGAAAGUAUAAGGAAGAAGUAUUAUCACCAAGGCACACAAGGAGCUCUAUAAACAAGAAACUUUGGAGAAUGAGAGCUUCAAAACUACUUGUGCCAUUUGCUUCAUUCGAAUUGCAAAAUCUUAGACAAUUAGUCUAAUUUUUUGGGUAUGCCUUUCGCACUAAAAGGAGUUGAGGAAGAAGUCCAACAUCGAAGUUAAAGCUACAAAAUACAUUUCUUGGCAUUAGGAGGUUGUUUGGCUCCUAGGUUUGGAAUUAUGUGGGCUUGGCAUUUAAUGCCCAGCCCAUGUUUGGCCCAUGGUCUAAAAUGAAUGGCUCAACAGAUGGGGUAAAUGAAGGGUUUAUCUUUUUACAUGUGAAAAUUAAAAAAAAAAAAAAAAAAAAAAGUCUCUCCUUUUACUUUCUCAUUCAAACCCUAACCUUUUCAUCUCCUCCCUUAUGCAUCUUUUUCAUCUUCUUCAUGUCUUCCCCUUGUUGGCAUGUGAUCUUUCGUUGGAGUGAAGGAUAACAAACAAAAAUUAGGUCACUUAUUUCUUUCAACGAAGGAAAUACGGUCUCUUUUAGUAUUUUUCUUUUUCUUCUCUUUUGGUGGCAAAGGAAAUCGAAUCCCAAUGGAGGAAAGAUCAGAUUUACGGUGGGUUCACGGAUUUAUUUUGGCGAAGGAAAUCAGAAUCCUAAACUUUUGGUAUAUUCACACGGCAAAAAUUUCUAAAAGAGGGAAACAAGGAGUUGCGGGUCUGUGCUAACCUUCCUUGGGUUUAUCUUGUCUUACCUUGCACACUUAGACACUCAAGAUUACAUAAUGUGUUCUUUUCUUUCCCACAUUUGUACAUGGACUUUUGCAUUUUUUUUAUUUCUUUGUUAGUACAUUCAUGUUUUGUAUAUUAUGAUUGUGUUAUAUUUGUUAGAUUAUUUAUUUUAACUUUUGAGAAUAUUUUAUUUGAAAUGUAAUUUUUUAAUAUUAAUUUUUUCUUUUUAAGUUAAUUUAUAUUGUUCACUUGUUAUAAUAAAAACAAAAGGGCUACACACAUGUUUUUAA